rnacentral:rRNA from 1 species
ACGGAGGGGGCUAGCGUUGUUCGGAUUUACUGGGCGUAAAGCGCGCGUAGGCGGCACGUCAAGUUAGAGGUGAAAGCCCUGGGCUCAACCUAGGAACUGCCUUUAAUACUGACGAGCUAGAGGCCGGAAGAGGGUGACGGAAUUCCCAGUGUAGAGGUGAAAUUCGUAGAUAUUGGGAAGAACACCAGUGGCGAAGGCGGUCACCUGGUCCGGUACUGACGCUGAGGUGCGAAAGCGUGGGGAGCAAACAGG